CUGCUGCCUCCCGUAGGAGUUUGGACCGUGUCUCAGUUCCAAUGUGGGGGACCUUCCUCUCAGAACCCCUACUGAUCGUCGCCCCGGUGGGCCGUUACCCCGCCGGCAAGCUAAUCAGACGCAUCCCCAUCCUUUACCGGCCGAAGCCUUUGGUCAUGAAAAUAUGCAUCAACAUGACAACAUACGGUAUUAAUCCGCCUUUCGACGGGCUGUCCCAUAGUAAAGGGCAGGUUGGAUACGCGUUACUCACCCGCGCGCCGGUCGCCAU
rnacentral:rRNA from 1 species